rnacentral:rRNA from 1 species
AGUCGAACGAGAAAGUGGAGCAAUCCAUGAGUAAAGUGGCGACCGGGUGAGUAACACGUGACUAACCUACCUCCGAGUGGGGAAUAACUCCGGGAAACCGGGGCUAAUACCGCAUAACAUCGCAAGAUCAAAGCCGAAAGGCGCUUGGAGAGGGGGUCGCGGCUGAUUAGCUAGUUGGUAGGGUAAUGGCCUACCAAGGCGAAGAUCGGUAUCCGGCCUGAGAGGGCGCACGGACACACUGGAACUGAAACACGGUCCAGACUCCUACGGGAGGCAGCAGUGGGGAAUUUUGCGCAAUGGGGGAAACCCUGACGCAGCAACGCCGCGUGGAGGAUGAAGCCCCUUGGGGCGUAAACUCCUUUCGACCAAGACGAUAAUGACGGUACUGGUGGAAGAAGCACCGGCUAACUCUGUGCCAGCAGCCGCGGUAAUACAGAGGGUGCGAGCGUUGUUCGGAAUUAUUGGGCGUAAAGGGCGCGUAGGCGGUGCCACAAGUCACCUGUGAAAUCUCCGGGCUUAACUCGGAGCCUGCAGGCGAAACUGUGGUGCUGGAGUGUGGGAGAGGUGCGUGGAAUUCCCGGUGUAGCGGUGAAAUGCGUAGAUAUCGGGAGGAACACCUGUGGCGAAAGCGGCGCACUGGACCAUAACUGACGCUGAGGCGCGAAAGCUAGGGGAGCAAACAGGAUUAGAUACCCUGGUAGUCCUAGCCCUAAACGAUGAUUGCUUGGUGUAGCAGGUACCCAAUCCUGCUGUGCCGCAGCUAACGCGAUAAGCAAUCCGCCUGGGGAGUACGGUCGCAAG